AGGCCGCUGCUGGCCAAGGUUCAGCCCGUCUGCAGCGGUGGUAGCACCUCUAGGAUAAUGUAUUUAAGAAGGGGAAAAAAAAAAAAGCUGCACAACAGCCAGAAGAGAGGAAUGACAAAGUGUGACACGGUUUAAUGGUGGAUUUGGGAGUCCUGGGGUAGAGGUUGGACUUGAUCUUUAAGUUCUUUUCCAAACUAGUUGGUUCUACAGUUCUAUGAUUCUAAAAGGAAAAUUUAAAAGGGUAAACCAUAAGUAGAAAUAGACGGCCACAGAUUCUUUUCAAAUCUCUCUUAUACUUGUGUCUACAGUACCUUGAGAAAACAUUAGAAAUAAAAAUUCCUUCUUAAAAAAGAAGUUGGAACCAGGUGAAGAAAGUAGAAUAAACUAUAAACUCUGGCUAAGUUCAGCUGCUAUUCACAUGAGACUGCUAAAGAAAGUACUGAAAUUUCCAAUCAGUUAAUUUUCUGUAUAGUCUCUUGAUUAAAUUGCUCUCAGGAAUAAGGAGGGCAUGCUAGGAAACUGGUUUAGCCAACAUGGGGAAGCUAUGUCCCAGUGCCAGAAGCAAACAAUACGUAUGUCUCUAGAGCCUGUUGUCUACGACGUGGAAUUAGAGUUGGGUCCUUGUUCGUACUUCCAGAAUAAUCUGCCUCAAGAGUUCCUGACAAUACAUCUUUAGGGUAAUUAACUCUACUGAGAUUCCAUGUUAUUAUAUUUCAACUUUAGCAAAGCAUAGGGACAGAAAUCCUACAUGUUCCACUUCUUUGAAUAGUUGCUACUGACAAUUUUAUUCCUUUGUGGGCUCAAAUGUUUCUUAGAAGCCUGGGGUACACUAAUCAGCUAAUGGAAAAAAAUGGUGGCACCUUCAGUAAACACCUAUAAACAGUCUCUUUGUGGGAAAAGUAGUUGAUCUCUGAUUAUUUCCUGCAGAAAACAGGAAUUUAUGUUUGUUAUAAAAGAAAUAAGGUUUUUUAAGGUGGUAUCCUUACAGCUGAAUUCUUUCUAACUAGAAGAUUCCAUUUUUUGUUGAAAUGCAGGCUGGUUAAAUUUGAACUCUGUAGUGAACAACUGGUUUCAGCAGCUUCAGGUAAGCUCUACUACAUAACAGGUUUCAGGUGCUUCAGGCUUCCUGCCAGAAAGGCAGGAGCCUAAACUCUGUGCUCUUCAUCUUGAACCAGAAAACCCAGCAGUUCCAGUAAUCUUAAAGUUAGACAGUCCUCUGGCUUCUUUAGAAAAACAAGGAGAGCAAUCUCAUGCAAACACAACCCCAGGAAACAUCAUUUCAGUGCAAAAAUACUUGUUUCAAAGAUAGCUAAACAGUGUUUCUUAGCCUGUGUUGCUUGUGAUUAAUUUUGGGUUGUUUUUUUUGGUCACUUGUUUUUGAUUUAGAAUUAAUCCAGAUGUGUUGACUUUCCAAAGUUUUUGAAAAUCAGAAUUCUCAAGUUCAGGCCAAGUCCAUUAUCAUUUCUAAAAUUACUCACCUGAGCAUCUUCUGAAAGUGGAAGAGCAGAAGAGAGAAAAGUCACAUCAGGAAAACCUGGGAAAAGCUAAUAAACACUGUAGGAAAAACAGGCAUGGACAAGUUUUUUUUCUUCACUAUUUAUUUCCAUAAAAAUGAAAUCUCAGAGAGGAGAACUGUAGCCAAUAUUUCUCAACAGCUGAAAACUGGUGAGGGAAAUGUCAGUAUUGUCAAAAUCUGAGGCUAAUCCAAGAUUUAUUCCUAGAAGUUAAAAUAGUUUUAUACAAAAUGGACUACUGUGUGUAACAGCAUCAGUAUUCUCUGUUGAAUACAUCACUGUCUAGACUGUGAGCACAAAAUAUUUCAGUCCUCAUCACAGAUUCUCAUCUGAAGAUGGAAGAUCUUGUAGCAUUGAUGGAGUCUCAAAGACUACCCAUUUGAGCUACCAAUAUGGCACUAGAAACAUGAAUUUCUGAUUCCUGCAAUAUGAACAUGGACACAAACCUACAUCUUGACCCAUAUCCGGUGACAUGAGCAUUCCUUUCUUACCAUAAGUAGUUCCACUGGCUUUAGUAAGACUCAUGUGAGUAGCCUAAUUCAACACAUUAAAGCUUAGAAGUCCAAAACAGCUACAGAUACAAAAAAAUAACCAAUAAAACAUGUGUCUGUUGCUUCUUUUAUAGCAUCUACAAAUUCUGAGCUUUAUUAAACUUAGAUGAACCUAAAUGUUUUAGCUGCACAGUUCAUUGUUUUAUCUCUGUGUGCCUUCAUGCCACAGCAGGAGAGCUGCAUGCCUUCGCAAAAUUAAUAUUUCUAAACAUCUGGCAUCCCCUAUAUGAGUUCAUAGACUGUUUGCAGUGAAAGCCUAAGAAAAAAAAAAAAAGUGAAACUAUAGUUUAAAACAAGUUUCCAGAAAUAAAUCUCAACUAGCAGUAUUCUCUAGAGCAUACUCUAGCAAUGUAACUCUUUUAAUAAUGUACCUGCUUCCAUUGGAGGUAUUUUUAAAAGGUGAGUUAAAUUAAUUGAAGAGGUAAACUCCAGCAGUGUGAAAUGGUCCAGCACAGAAUAUACGACCCUGUAUAAUCUUUACUUUCACUCUCACAACAAGAUUGCCGUGUUUACAAAUUUUAAACCAGUCUCUAAGGAGAGAUUUGGAAAUUACACAUACAGAGACACGUACAUAUGCAUCCCUUCAUAUAUACCUUUGGGAAAUUACAAAGAAAAAUAUAAAUAGAUGUCAUCUAAUAGCAUAUUGUAACCAUGUCAGUUGUUACUUGUUGGAAGUUAUAAAUCAAUAAAACCAAAGUUCUGGUAUUUCCAUCAUUGACAAAAACAACAAAACCAAUUCUUAUUUCAAAUAAGAAAAGGGAUGUAAUUCUGUUCUUAUUAAAAGUCUGUGGAGAGGGAGAAAUGAGAAAAGCCUAUUUCAGAAAUUAUUUUGUGUGUAAUAUUUUAAAUGACAUGUUGAGAUACAAAGUGGACUUUUUUAUUGUUCUCUGAAUACUCGAUUCCAGCAUAGGAAACCUAGGCACCCUAAAAGUAAUUAUAGAUGAACCAAGCAAAUGUUUUCAUCCAUUCUGUAUUUUAAUUAGUUUAGUGCCUUGUUUUUACUGUUUUUCAUAAAAAGUGGUAGGUGACACAUCAGCUGAAAAUAUUAUUCA